CCCCCUCCCCCCAUACACAGACACGCCCCUCAAGAUAUGUGGGCUAUUCAAUGAAUGAAUUGUUCAUCUCCGGUGAAUAUACAUGAUUCAAAUCUAAAUUUACAAUAUCAAAAUCCAGACUAAUAAAAAAGAAAAGUAGACUCAGAGAAGUGACGAGUAAGAAAAAUGGUUAAUAUUUCUGUUUACACAUUUUGUUCAGACUGUUUUACACCAAUCCAGUCGGUGGCGGUAAUGCCCCCAUUUCUGUUGGUAGCUAGCCUAAUCGCCUAUUACAUAGGAACAAAGAAGAAUCAGAAGAAUAGCGAAAAUGGGUAAAAAAGAAGACAAGGAACGUAAACGAAAGAAGUCGGCGGCAACAUUGUCCCAAAACAUUGGUGACUUAUUCCAGAAAAGGACCAAAAUCGGUAAGCUGCUGAGUGCAGGGCUUCUAUUUCUUUACUACUUAGCUGCUAGACCUAGCUGCAUCUGAACACUCACUGACCUAGGCUACUUGUCAGUGGUUGCCUAGCUCCAUUAGGCUAUAUGCUAGCCCCAUCCCUCGCCGAACACAGAAAAUACCACUGUCAAUUUUGUAGGAAACAUAGCGAACGUAACAGUAACUAUUUUCGGGAUUGUUAAAAGUGUAUUGCUUGGCGUGUUAACGUGACUUCGGUGCUUCAAUGUCUCCCCCCCUCCAUCUCGUUAUGCUUGUGCUCUGCAAGUGCCACAUAGCUGACAGUUCCCCCCGUCUGUUUUAGACUAGUGUCUGUCUCCUGAGUCUACUGUCUUGACGCAGAGUGUUACCAUUUUGUGCUCGCGGCUUCAGAUGUCUAUGACAGAACUUAUUAUGUGCAGUUUCGACCUCGGUCUCUAUUGGUGCCUCUCCACCUUUUCCUGAAAGUGAAACGGAUUUUAUGAGGGGUUCCCCCCACACUAAAGCCAAAUUAUUUUAUGCCCAUUAGUUGAUUUUUAAGAAAUGUAAGUGACAAUAACAUUCAGUAACUCACUUUGCAAUGCUGAUGAUCAAGCUAGGCUGUAUUUUACUGUCACCAUGCCUGUUGCUCCAGCUAGGCUGUAUUUUACUGUCACCAUGCCUGUUGCUCCUAAGGCCAUAGUAAAUAAAAUACAGUAUAGAGGUGUAAAAAAAAAAGGGGGUUAAACAUGGAUAGGGUGUAUGUGAGUCAAUCAGUGUAGUUUCCCUGCACCUGAUGUUUGUGUUUCAGGUGCAGAUGUUUGUUGUCAGACGUUUGUUGUGUGUGCUUUUUGUUAAAACCGUUUUAUGACAAAUGCAAUAUAUCUGCUUGAUGAAAUUACCCAAACCCUCACAAUUCUAUGUGCACAAUAGAAAAUAAAAUAAUUCAGAGAAUAAAAUUAUUAUUAUGUCUGGUUUGAAAUACUCUAAAAUUGACUUAAAUGUCUUUCUUUUGCUGUAUUUAUUUAGUGAGUCAGCAUGUGGAGGGUGAGCUACCAGCAGCUAGUAGUAGCAGCAAUGAAACAGCCUUGCCAGGUAACAGUGCAGUGGAAGAGCAGAGAGAUGCAGCAGCUCCUGAAGUGGCUGAGGAUGUGAGAGUGAGACAGGCAGCAGAAUGUGAGGUAGCCCAGCCGAGCUCUGUACUUGACAGUGACCUUGGCUUCUUCAUAGAUGCAACCAAAUCUAUUGAGGAAAUAGCACAGGCUGUGUGUCAGAUGUCUGAUGGCCAAAAGUACAAUUUGGUGAAAAACCACGUCAGACCUUCGAAACAUUUCAUUUUCCCAACUCCAUUUAUUGGUGGGUGCAACAGGGCAUUCAGGUAUGAUUGGUUUGAGGAGCAUGGAUGGUGGCUGGUUUACAGCAUGAAACUCGAUGGCGCUUUCUGCAUAUGCUGUGCUCUCUUUCUCAAUGCCACAGAGAGGAAACAGUCAACUUCACUGAUAAAUGCGCCCUUCAGUAAAUGGCAUAAGAAAACGAAGAUAAUUGGAAGCCACCAAUCGAAAGCAAACCAUUUAGUGGCAUUUGAAAGAGCAAAACUGUUUCGACAGUCACAUGAAAACCCCAAUACCCGGAUAUCAGUCCGUAUGGACAGUGCAAAGGAGACCAACAUCAAAGAGAACAGGCACAUUCUCAAGUGCGUUGCAGAGGCUGUUCUCUACUGUGGCCGUCAAUGCAUUGCACUGAGAGGAUCAGCUGAGCAGCAGCAUUGUAGUGGCAAUCCUGGGAAUUUCUUGGCCCUAUUGAAACUGCUUUCAAAUCACGAUGAAAAGCUGAAGCAGCAUUUGGAGAAACCAAAGCUAAAAAAUGCCACAUAUCUAUCACCUCAAAGCCAAAAUGAAAUGAUUGAUGUAAUAGGGAAGCACAUGAUUCAGGCCAAGAUCGUGGAAGAGGUCAGGCAUGCUCAGAUGUACACAGUCCUAGCUGAUGAGGUCACAUCCCAUAAUGAAGAGCUGAUGCCAAUGUGUGUUCGCUUCGUGGACAAAGACUUAAAUAUCAGAGAGGAGUUGCUUGAGAUUUGUACUUUGCCACGGAUCACAGGUCGCCACAUUGCAAGCGCGAUCAAAGAUGUGCUGAGUCAUCUAAGCAUAGAGAUUGCUGACUGUCGAGGCCAGGGGUACGAUGGCGCCAGCAAUAUGAGCAGCGAAAAUGUUGGCGUUCAAGCUUUGAUAAAAAAGGAUGCGCCUAAGGCAGUUUAUAUGCACUGCAAUGGGCAUUGCUUGAACCUUGUCAUUGCACGCUCUUGUGCUCUUCCAGUUGUGCGCAACAUGAUUGAUAAGAUGAAGUACAUCGUCAUGUUCUUCACCUGCAGCCCGAAGAGGGAACACCUUCUCAAGGAGGUUGUAGAUAAGGAGGCACAUUCUACCGGAAAGCGGAAGCCCCUGAUUGACCUCAGCCGCACAAGAUGGGCAGCACGGCAUGAUGCCUACAGUCACUUCUACAGUGCCUUUGUCGCAUCAAGGCUCAUGGGCCUAAUUCCAUCUGUCCAGUGCAACUCAGAUGUAACGGUGGACAUCUCUGAAGCAGUCGCUCUGUACCAAGAUGACUUGCCAUCACCAGAGGUCAUUGACCAGGAGCUGAAACGGUGGAAGUUGAAGUGGCAGGUCAAAGCAUUACACCAAAGACCAAGCUCAUGUGCCUCAGCUAUCAAAGAGUGUGAUGAGAUGAUGUAUCCGAACAUCUUCAAACUCCUGAAAAUUGCAUGCACCUUGCCAGUGACCUCCUGCGAAUGUGAGAGGUCUGCCAGUGUUCUCCGGAGACUCAACACAUUCAUGCGGAGCAGCAUGGGAGAGGACCGCAUGUCAUCCUUGGCUCUCAUCCAUACCCACUACGACAUGGCUCUGGAUCUGGAUGAAGCUGUCGAUCUAUACUCAAAAAUGCACCCAAGACGAUUGGAGCUGAUGAGCGUUCUGAUGCAAUAGAAGCCAUAGAAGAAGAAGAGGGAGACAUGGGGGGUGGGUCAUUUCACGUGAAAUCAGACACUUUGGGGCCCAACCGACACAGAUUUUAAUCAAACUUUGUGUGCCUUCUUAGUGGUAAGGUAGAACCCCAGAACUGCAUUUGCAUGAAUCUGGCACUAAUAUAAGGGAGAAAUGGACUAAGAAUGUUUUAAGUAAGAGGGUAGGGCACUACACAUUCAACCUUGAUUAUGUCAAUUUAAAUUACAAAGAGAUGGUUUUGAUGCUGUUUGAAAGCUCUUUUCUGGAACACUUCAAUUUAUAUCAUUAUUAAUUCAUGUUUAAGUUUUAAUGACCAUACCGAUAGUGUACUUCAUGAAGUAAUUCUUAUCUAUUUAUGUCAACAGUGGAGAGAUAGACAAUAAAGGACAGCAACAACAGACAGACAGAACAACAACAGAGACAGACAAUGGAGGGCAGCAACAGACAGGCAAUGGAAGAAAGCAACAGACAACUGAGUGGGGAGCAACAGACAAAAAAUGAAGGACAGCAACAACAGACUCACAACAAACUUGACGAUGAAUAAAAUAUGUCUAAAUUAAAAGAUUUGAAGUGUGCUGGUGUAUUUAGGGGGCAUUGGAGUAGGGAGCCAAAUGAAGUCCACUUUCGGGGGGAAAAGAUCCCCCCCCACCACAAUGCUGGCU